GCUUAACACAUGCAAGUCGAGCGGAAAGGCCCCUUCGGGGGUACUCGAGCGGCGAACGGGUGAGUAACACGUGAGCAACCUGCCCCUGACUUCGGGAUAAGCCUGGGAAACUGGGUCUAAUACCGGAUACGACCACCGUGGGCAUCUGUGGUGGUGGAAAGUUUUUCGGUUGGGGAUGGGCUCGCGGCCUAUCAGCUUGUUGGUGGGGUGAUGGCCUACCAAGGCUUCGACGGGUAACCGGCCUGAGAGGGCGACCGGUCACACUGGGACUGAGACACGGCCCAGACUCCUACGGGAGGCAGCAGUGGGGAAUAUUGCGCAAUGGGCGGAAGCCUGACGCAGCGACGCCGCGUGGGGGAUGACGGCCUUCGGGUUGUAAACCUCUUUCAGCAGGGACGAAGCUAACGUGACGG
rnacentral:rRNA from 1 species